rnacentral:rRNA from 1 species
UAAUGGCUCACCAAGGCGACGAUCGGUAGCUGGUCUGAGAGGAUGACCAGCCUCACUGGGACUGAGACACGGCCCAGACUCCUACGUGGAGGCAUGUCAGUGGGGAAUAUUGGACAAUGGGCGCAAGCCUGAUCCAGCCAUGCCGCGUGAGUGACGAAGGCCUUAGGGUUGUAAAACUCUUUCGCCGGGGACGAUAAUGACGGUACCCGGAGAAGAAGCUCCGGCUAACUUCGUGCCAGCAGCCGCGGUAAUACGAAGGGAGCUAGCGUUGUUCGGAAUUACUGGGCGUAAAGCGCACGUAGGCGGAUUUGCCAGUCAGGGGUGAAAUCCCGAGGCUCAACCUCGGAACUGCCUCCGAUACAGCAAGUCUUGAGGAUGAGAGAGGUUGGUGGAAUUCCUAGUGUAGAGGUGAAAUU